AAACAGAUAAUGCAGUUGUGACCAAAGUCUUUAAUUUCAUAUGUCUACCAGCACCACCCAAAGCCAUGCACACCAAAUCUGUUAAAGAAAAUGCAUUAUUUUCCAACUGUGUCCUCUAAAUUUUC